AAACGCACCCAAGCUUGAUGACGC
rnacentral:siRNA from 1 species